rnacentral:lncRNA from 1 species
GUCCCUGGGGUCGCCUCCCGCUGCACCGCCCCGUGCACUGCCCCCCAGGCCCCAGCGCAGGUUGGCGGCGACGACGACGAGAACCCACCUCGGAGAGACGCAGGGACGGGCCUGGGGGGCGGGGACCACGGCUGCGGCCCAGGCGCGGGUGCUAAGGCCUUUCCCGUCUGGCAGGACGCGCCUCCUUCCAGACCUGCAGGUCCCGGUUCGCCUCCCGCCCCCGGAGCAUCUCCGUUUCGUGCACGGAGACUGUUGACAUCCCCGUUAGGAUUAAAACAAGACACCUGGAGUUUGGAGCCGGAAGGCCCUGGGAGCCCGCGUGGUCCAUCUCACAGAGAGGCCCCUGUCGCCCCCGGGCCCUGUCCGGAGGACAAGCAGGCCGGGCCCGAAGCGCAGGACAGGGCCCUCGCCCGCCUCCACCCAGCCGGGUGGCUCCCAGGGUGGGAUUCGGGGCGCUCGCCUCACCGGCCGCACCCCCGAGCCUGGAGCCUGUGCGCCCAUUUGUCGCCCCCCGUUCGGACGUGAACCGGAGUCCCGACCGGGUGUCCGGGCCGAGCGGCACCCCUGCGUGUCACAGCGGCCCUCCUCGGUUGGCACCCCCGUCGCUGGAAACACUCGCCUAGGAAGCCCCCCGGUGCCUCUCCGGGGAAGCAAGCGGCCUGCACCCCCUAUCUGGGCCCCCCUUCACCCACUUCCAGGGGGUUCUCUGAGUGCUUGCUUGCUCCAGGGUCUUCGGGGCUGAGAGCUGGGCAGGUUCGGGGUCAGGAAGAGCAGAAUUGGGGCUCGGCUGGUGGGGACAGUGUGCCCCCGGGCCGGGCCUUCCUCGUCUCGGUGGGGCUGUUACUCCUCGGUGCCCAGGAGUUGAGGGAGGGUUGCUGGCGGGCACCAGGUGCUGCACCUGGCGGGGAGAGGGGGUGAGGGGCCCCCAUUACUCUAGGGUGACAGCACACACCGGCUCUACGGGUUACUGGGUGCUGAUGGGGGACAGAGGCAAGGCCGUCGGCUGGCGAAGAGGAGGCCGGGCCUCCACGGAGGCCGGGUGUCUGCAGUCAGGAUCGGAGUCGGGGGGAGGUGCUGGGGGCUGUGGGCUUUGCACCUUGUGCCUCGGGACAGCCCAUGGACGGCAGCUGGCCGAGCACCAGGUGCACCAGGCUUGGCACAUCGAGUGCUCUUCUCCGCGUCCCGGGGCUUAUUCUUCUGGGGGCACCAACCGAGUGUGAUCCUGCCCGGCAGGGUGCCUGUGUGACCUGAGAAGACGCGCGUCGGCGUCGAGCGCAGUGUCCCGUCCGCGUUUGGUCGAAACGGUGGCUGCUGUCUUUAUUACGGGGCCUCUCUGCCUCCGGAGGGGUAUAAAGGCCCUGGGAGUUGGGGGCCCAGGAAGAUGGCAGCGCGGUCCUUUCCAUGCUCAGGUGGAUGGAAUGGUUUCCUUGGAGCAGCAUUUCCAAAGGGGGGCUCCUCAAGGCCUUGAGAUAGUCUAGAGGAAAAAACAAAAAAC